GUCGUCAUCGUAUAGUGGUCAGUAUCCCCGCCUGUCAACACGGUGACAUCUCGAUGUCCCGAGAUCUGAACGCGGGAGGCCGGGGUUCGAUUCCCCGUGACGGCG
rnacentral:tRNA from 1 species